GCUCUUUCGUAAGCGGCGGGCGAAGGUCACAGGCCUUGGGCCAGUGGUGGGACACUGGAGCAGGAAGUCGGCCUGUGGCCGGCCAUGUUCAUGAGGGCGCGUCCCUUGGCACCCCUGUAGCCGCUAUGUUUCCCACGCCCGUGGCAGGCCUGAGAGAUUAUGUUUGCGGGGGGUGCUUUUUUUGUAGCUUCUGUGUUCGCCAUAUUUGAAAGGGGCAGACGGCCAUGUUCGUGAACGGCGCUUCCCUUGGUGCACCUGUGGCCGCCAUGUUUGAGCGAGGACCCCGUGGCAGGCCAGGACCGUUUCUCCGGUGCUAUCCCAGAGCAUGGCGCAUCCACUCAUUCACUCAAGCCCACCCUCUCCUAUCCUCUCGGUCCACCCGACUUAGCUGGGCAAAAAUAACCCUGUGGUAGGACAGCCGUCUGCUGUUGGAAAGUAUCGCAGCUCCUCCCGUGUCUGCCCCGUGCACAUGUGCCAAGGUCCUGCCUUGAAUGAAGGACACAGCGGAGAAGGAUGUAGGCUCUGAGCCUGCUAGGGUGCCUGAGAGACUCACAGGACUACCCCUGGGGCAGUUGGAAGAUGCCCAGAAACUUCAGGGAGCCACCAGCAUGGGGCAGAGGGUCUCUUCUGGAGUUGGUGGCAUCAGAAUCAGGUGUAGAGUACAUAGGAACUGUUGGCGCCGUGCAGAGAUGGGGAAGGAGGUGCCGGUGGAAGGGCCCAAUGCCUGCGCCCCUGGGGCCCUCACUGGAGGCUGAGCAUCCACUGGACUCUUGUAGCCCGCUUUGUAGACUGAUCAGUAGUCUGUGACAUGACGAUGUUUGAGUAGAGUAGACCAUUUUCUGCUUCAUAUAUCCUACAACGUGCUGGGAUCAGGAGGCAGUGGUGGGUCCAUGGCAUCUGACCCAGCCCGACGCCCUUGUGGUCUCCAGGCGGUCAUGACCCAUGGCCUGACCCGGCUUGGUCAGCCCGGCCUGGCCGUGUCUUCCCAGGUUCACACCCAGCCCUGGCCCCUCUCUGCCCCCUUGCCAGGAAAUUUGAGUCCUCCUUAACGUUUCUCAAUAUUGUGGUUUUGUUUUGUUCUUUCUCAUUCAUUUGUCUUUUAAUUUUUGGCUUCCGUUUUUUAUGGGCACCUAAUUGUGUGUGUUCUAAAAAUUGAA
rnacentral:lncRNA from 1 species